AUUUAUAUAGCUUAAAUAAAAAAGCGUAAUAUUGAAGAUAUUAAGAUAAGAGUAAUCUUUAUAAAUA
rnacentral:tRNA from 1 species